rnacentral:rRNA from 1 species
CACGUAGGGUGCGAGCGUUGUUCGGAUUCAUUGGGCGUAAAGGGUGCGUAGGUGGCGCUGUAAGUCGGGUGUGAAAUUUCGGAGCUUAACUCCGAAACUGCAUUCGAUACUGCGGUGCUUGAGGACUGGAGAGGAGACUGGAAUUCAUGGUGUAGCAGUGAAAUGCGUAGAGAUCGGGAGGAACACCAGAGGCGAAGGCGGGUUGCUGGGCCGACACUGACGCUGAUGCGCGAAAGCCAGGGGAGCGAACGGG